GCAAGCGUUGUUCGGAAUUACUGGGCGUAAAGGGCUCGUAGGCGGCCAACUAAGUCAGACGUGAAAUCCCUCGGCUUAACCGGGGAACUGCGUCUGAUACUGGAUGGCUUGAGAUUGGGAGAGGGAUGCGGAAUUCCAGGUGUAGCGGUGAAAUGCGUAGAUAUCGUAAGGAAGACCAGUGGCGAAGGCGGGUCUCUGGACAGUUCCUGACGCUGAGGCACGAAGGCCAGGGGAGCAAACGGG
rnacentral:rRNA from 1 species